rnacentral:rRNA from 1 species
UACGAAGGGGGGCUAGCGUUGUUCGGAUUUACUGGGCGUAAAGCGCACGUAGGCGGAUCGUUAAGUGAGGGGUGAAAUCCCAGGGCUCAACCCUGGAACUGCCUUUCAUACUGGCGAUCUUGAGUCCGGAAGAGGUGAGUGGAACUCCUAGUGUAGAGGUGGAAUUCGUAGAUAUUAGGAAGAACACCAGUGGCGAAGGCGGCUCACUGGUCCGGUACUGACGCUGAGGUGCGAAAGCGUGGGGAGCAAACAGG